rnacentral:rRNA from 1 species
UAGAGUUUGAUCCUGGCUCAGGAUGAACGCUGGCGGCGUGCCUAAUACAUGCAAGUCGAGCGAACAGAUGAGGAGCUUGCUCCUCUGAUGUUAGCGGCGGACGGGUGAGUAACACGUGGGUAACCUACCUAUAAGACUGGAAUAACUCCGGGAAACCGGGGCUAAUGCCGGAUAAUAUGCAGAACCGCAUGGUUCUGCAAUGAAAGACGGUCUUGCUGUCACUUAUAGAUGGACCCGCGCCGUAUUAGCUAGUUGGUAAGGUAACGGCUUACCAAGGCAACGAUACGUAGCCGACCUGAGAGGGUGAUCGGCCACACUGGAACUGAGACACGGUCCAGACUCCUACGGGAGGCAGCAGUAGGGAAUCUUCCGCAAUGGGCGAAAGCCUGACGGAGCAACGCCGCGUGAGUGAUGAAGGUCUUCGGAUUCGUAAACUCUGUNGU